UACGUAGGGUGCAAGCGUUUGUCCGGAAUUAUUGGGCGUAAAGAGCUCGUAGGCGGCUUGUCGCGUCGUCCGUGAAAACCUGCAGCUCAACUGCAGGCUUGCGGUCGAUACGGGCAGGCUCGAGUUCGGUAGGGGAGAGUGGAAUUCCUGGUGUAGCGGUGAAAUGCGCAGAUAUCAGGAAGAACACCAAUGGCGAAGGCAGCUCUCUGGGACGGUACUGACGCUGAGACGCGAAAGCGUGGGGAGCGAACAGG
rnacentral:rRNA from 1 species